UACGGAGGGUGCAAGCGUUAUCCGGAUUCACUGGGUUUAAAGGGCUCGUAGGCGGCCAACUAAGUCAGACGUGAAAUCCCUCGGCUUAACCGGGGAACUGCGUCUGAUACUGGAUGGCUUGAGGUUGGGAGAGGGAUGCGGAAUUCCAGGUGUAGCGGUGAAAUGCGUAGAUAUCUGGAGGAACACCGGUGGCGAAGGCGGCAUCCUGGACCAAUUCUGACGCUGAGGAGCGAAAGCCAGGGGAGCAAACGGG
rnacentral:rRNA from 1 species